rnacentral:rRNA from 1 species
UGGGGAAUUUUCCGCAAUGGGCGAAAGCCUGACGGAGCAAUACCGCGUGAGGGAGGAAGGCUUUUGGGUUGUAAACCUCUUUUCUUAGGGAAGAAGAACUGACGGUACCUAAGGAAUCAGCAUCGGCUAACUCCGUGCCAGCAGCCGCGGUAAUACGGAGGAUGCAAGCGUUAAUCGGAAUUACUGGGCGUAAAGCGCGCGUAGGCGGUUGUGUAAGUCGGAUGUGAAAGCCCCGAGCUUAACUUGGGAAUUGCAUUCGAAACUGCACGACUAGAGUAUGGGAGAGGGAAGUGGAAUUUCCGGUGUAGCGGUGAAAUGCGUAGAUAUCGGAAGGAACACCAGUGGCGAAGGCGACUUCCUGGACCAAUACUGACGCUGAGGUGCGAAAGCGUGGGGAGCAAACAGGAUUAGAUACCCCGGUAGUCC